rnacentral:lncRNA from 1 species
ACAGCUUAACCUCAGCCUCCCUGCGUGUUUCAGUGCUUCAGGCUCUGCUCCAAGAACCUGGUACAAGGAUGACGUGAGGGACUUGGCAGCAUCCUGGAUUUGGUAUCCGUGAAGGAUGACUGUGUGGAUUUAUAUUAAAUCCCCUUGGGGUUUGUUACAGCCAGUAACUCUGUGAAGCUGGCUCUCUUAUUGGCAGCAAAUUUAAAAAUGGGAGGAGCCUCCUCAACUCUGUCUAUGAUGUUGGGUCAGCGUGUUCGCCAAUUUGGUGAGAAACUGGUCCGAAGGCGGCCACUGGAGCCGAGGAACGAGUCUGAGAUUCCCACACCUCAUCUCAACAGCUUCGACCUAGUGGUCUUUGGUGUGAACAGAACCCUGAGGGCUGGUGUGUACAUCCUAGCUGGUGCCGUGGCUGUGUAUGUAACUGGGCCUGCGAUCAUUAUCUCCUUCUUGGUGGCUGGCUUAUUUGCCCUGUUGUCUGGAUUCUACUUUGCUGAGUUUGGGGCCCGGGUACCCUGCUGUGGUUCUGUGUAUCUCUACAGCUAUGUAACAAUGGGACAACUGCAUGCCUUCAUCACUGGCUGGAACAUCAUACUGCAUUUUGUUCUUGCCACCGCCUACUUGACCAGGGCCUGGAGCUACACCUUUGACAGCCUGAUUGGGAACCACAUCUCGCAGGUGUUAGAGGGAACGUUCUCUGAGCAUAUGCCCUCGUUCCUGGCCCCAUACCCAGACUUUGUUGCGCUGGCCCUGGUGCUGCUGAUGGCUGGGCUACUGAUUCUGGGCGUUCAUGUGACAGCUCGUGUUACCAAAGUGUCCACAGGUAUCAAUGCUUUGGUUCUCAGCUUCAUCAUCAUCUCUGGCUUCAUUAAGGGAGACCUGCACAACUGGCAGCUCACAGAACAGGACUACAAACUGGCCGCAUCUGGAUCCUCUGACAGCUAUAGCCUGGGCCCUCUGGGUUCUGGAGGGUUUGUGCCCUUUGGCUUUGAAGGGAUUCUCCAAGGAGCAGCAAUGCCUUUCUACUCAUUCUUUGGUCUCAAUGCUAUUGUCACUACAGGGAAAGAAACCCCCAACCCUCAGCGUUCCAUCCCUUGGAGCAUAGGGAUCUUCAUCUCCAUCUGCUUUUUGGCCUAUUCUGGUGUCUCAGCAGCUCUCACCCUCAUGGUGCCCUACUACCAGAUUCAUCCUUACAACCCCUUGCCGCAGGCUUUCCACCAUGUUGGGUGGGCUCCUGCCGGAUACUUCGUGGCUGUUGUCAUCCUGUGUGCUCUUUUUUACAGCCUCCUGGUUGUCAUGUUGACCAUGUCUCGGUUGAUUUGUGCAAUGGCAGAGGAUGGGCUCCUUUUCCGGGGACUUGGCAAAAUCUACGCCCGAAGAGGCACCCCCAUCGUGGCCAUCCUGGUUUCUGCAAUUCUUUCAGGGAUCAUGGCAGUACUUUUCGAGAUCCAUCAUCUUGUGGAACUCCUGUCAGUUGGGGUCUUGCUUGCUUACUUCCUAGUGGCUUUUUCUGUCCUGGUCCUCAGGUACCAGCCAGACCAGAGCUUCAGCAAGAAGGAGAAAGUAGAGGAGGAAACUGAGAUGGAGCCUAUAGUUGAAGGAAAUCCUUCACCAUCUGUACCUGAAGCAGGAACCUCAAACCCUCUAAAGAGUCUGUGUAACCCUAUCAGCACCACCCCGACUCUGAAAUCUGGCCAGAUUGUCUAUGGAUGUGCCUUCCUGCUGGUUCUCCUGCUGACCAUCCUGAGCCUGCUUCUGGCCCUGUGGCCCAGCCGCGUGUUUUCUGGAGACCCCGGGUUCACAGCAGGGGCUGUGCUGCUGCUGCUGCUCAUUAUGUGGAUCACUGUCAUCAUUUGGAGGCAGCCCCAGAACCCCUCUCCUCUUCACUUUAGGGUACUUUCUUUGCCUGUCUUCCCACUGAUCAGCAUCUUUGUGAACAUUUACUUGAUAAUACAGAUGACUACUGGGACUUGGGCCCAAUUUGGCAUCUGGAAUGCUGUUGGAUUUGCCAUAUACUUUGGAUAUGGGAUCCGACACAGCUUGGAGGAGAAGAGUGAUCAAAACCCACCAGCUUCCAACUUCCAUACUUUUGAUGAACACACCUCUAGUGCUAAAUCCUGUUAACUCCAGCAAAUAGAUGCUGUGUGGUCCUCUCCAAAAGGGGAAAUGUAUUCUGGUUCAAGGGACUUUUUGAGCCUCUAUGGAGUGUGACAUUGGGAUGCAUGUAGAGCCUUCUAUUUAUUGCCACUGGACAGGAUGACUUUUAUGUAUAAUUUAAAGUAAACUUUUAAAAGUAUAA